rnacentral:rRNA from 1 species
CACGUAGGCGGCCUGUUAAGUGUGGAGUGAAAUCCCACGGCUCACCCGUGGAACUGCUUCGCAUACUGGCAAGCUCGAGGACGGUAGGGGAGAGCGGAACUCUUGGUGGAGCGGUGAAAUGCGUAGAUAUCAAGAGGAACACCGAUGGCGAAGGCAGCUCUCUGGUCCGUUUCUGACGCUGAGGUGCGAAAAGCUAGGGUAGCGAAC